rnacentral:lncRNA from 1 species
UGCGUUGAUUUUGUUUUCGGACGGUAGAAUGGGAAAAGCACGCGGCGCGGCGGCGUAGCUAUGGAACGGCGGCGGCGUGUCUUCGCUGGUGGGGAGCGGAAAGGAAGCGAGCAGCCAGAUAUGGUGGCCGCGCCAGUGGGCACCGUUACCGUCGUAACGUCAAGUCUAGGCUAGCGUCGGUUGGAUCAUGACGACCAAAGGGGACCUCGGCGCACGAAAGGUACGCCGGUUUAAGUUCUGGAUACGCCUGAACUUUUUGGUUUGAACCAAUUCGCUGACGGGUAGCUGCAUUUGAUCCGAACUCGCCCUUUCCAAUGCGUGCAAAGUUGUAGUGUAUUUGUCAUGUAGUCUUGUGCUCUGGAAUCGCAGAAAUGCUUCUGCUCGUCGACUAAAUAAUAACAGCUCAGUGAUUAGGUUGAUUUGUUCUCCUUUUUACCAUUAAUUUAUUGAUAAUCAAGUGCACUGCAGCAUAUGAAAUACGGUGAUGCCAAUGCUAUCUUUGUCGGCAUGGAGUUUAGGAUAAGACUCACUGCCCUAUAAUAACAAACCAGAAGUAUGAAUUGACAAGUUUCACAUGGAUUUGUUUUCGUUGCAUGACUACCUCCUACUGCAAAUGCUCUCCUUGUAAUACCAAAUAAUCCAUCGAAGUUCCCAUAUAUCCUUAUGCUGACUUGGAGUGUAGUUCUACCAGCGAUGCAUAAACUCCACCCUUUCCCACAAGGUAUUCAUGCUUCCCCUUCUCAGCAACUUCACCAUCUUUCAUGACUACGAUCAUAUCUGCCCCUUUAAUUGUGGACAGUCGGUGCGCCACAACAAUGGUGGUCCUGCUAACCAUCACUUGGUCCAGUGCAUCUUGAACAAUGUGCUCUCCUUCAGCAUCCAGAGCACUUGUUGCCUCGUCGAGUAGAAGUAUUUUUGGGUCCUUCAAGAUGGCCCUUGCAAUAGCAACCCGUUGUUUUUGUCCUCCAGAGAGCUGUGUUCCCCUCUCGCCGACAAUAGUGCUAUAUCCCUGAGGCAAGCUAGAUAUGAACUCAUGAGCAUUUGCUGCCUUGGCCGCAGCAACGAUCUCAUCCUCUCUUACUUCUCCUUGUUUUCCAUAUGCUAUGUUUGUGCGAAUUGUGUUGUUGAAAAGUACAGGUUCUUGGCUCACUAAGCCCGUUUGGUCUCUUAACCAACUCAGCUUUAGUUUUUUAAGUUCUGUUCCAUCCAGUGAGAUUGUACCAGAAUCUGGAUCGUAGAAUCUCUCGAGCAAAGAAAUUAUUGUUGACUUACCACUACCACUCUCUCCAACAAGUGCAACAGUCUGCAUAUGAAAUUUAGUUUUAAGUUCAUCAGUACAAAACAUAAAGGAAAAUGUGAAAACAAGAACUAAUUUUGAUUCUUUUUCAGGCUCAUUUUGAUUGACCCUAUCCAGCCUUUUUGAACACAAAUGACAUGAGCUCUUACUUUCAAUUAGAGUAUAAAGCAGGUAUUGCGGGCAAUUGAGCUUUCUAAAGAGAUAAAAAUAGCAUGGGAAAAACCCUUAAUUCAUAGUAAAUCUUUUUUUUGUUACUUUCAUCUCAUAUUGUCUGCCUUUUCUACUCCUUCUGAAAAUGGAGUUUGAACUUAAAAUUUUGCAGAAGGCUGAAUGAAUUUCGUACCACCUGUACACAACUUUUCUGAAACUUAUGUUAAGGUAAGAUGAAUUGAGCAAUGAGCACUGAUUACCUGAGAAAAGUAGCAAACAGUUACUGUAUUUGUAGCCAAUAUCUGAUAAUUUUCUAUUAUUUAAGCUGCCCAAGAAUUGCCAUAACGCUUUUGUGAAGUGUCUAGCAUGGUCUAACUUGGUACUAACCUAGCAAGAUCAACCACCCAAGUUCCCAUCCCCUGUUUCUCCCAAUGAUCAAUGAAUAACUAACUACCCCCUCCACCUCCAGUCAAACAACUUAUGAAUUAACGAUGACAAGCAUCAAGCAAGCAGUACCUUUCUUGCUGGAAUGGCCAAAGUAAAGUUGCUGAGCACUUGGACGUCUGGGCGGGAUGGGUAUUUGAAGCUUACAUGCCUGAAAUCUAUGUUGCCAUCAACUUUUUCUAUAAUCACGCCUUCAUCACUAGUCGAGUUGAUUUUAGAUCUCCUGUCUAUAAUAGUUAGUAUUGAAAUUGUGGAUUCCUGGGCUUUUGUUGAAUCUGUUGCCGUUGCACUUGUUUGGGAAACUCCAAAAGCUGUGAAAAUCAGAGCAAAAUAGACCUGCCAGUUGCCUAAAUUUAGUCAGUUGCUGAACAAAAUGUCAUUGUUUAAAUGAUCCCAAAUGCGUAUCUCUUACCCUAAAAACGUCUUUAAAAGUUGUUUUUCCUUCGUGUACGAACAGUGCACCAACAUAGAAACAAAGAGCAUAUGUGAGAUACAUAAUUAAGUUUGAUAAACUGAAACCAAGGCCUCCAACCAUUCCACUUCUAAUGCCAUGUUUCAUUGAAGCUUGGCAUUUUUGGAUGUAUGAUGUAAUUACCCUCUUCUCUGCACAGAAAGAUGCUACUGUUUGAAUACUACCAAUUGCCUCGGUUACGACUUGACUUGCAUCUUCAUACAUCACCUGUUGCAUUUAGUUGUUAGGUGAAACCUUUGAUAAGACAUUAAAUCUUACUAAUUUUUUUGUUGAUUGUAAACUUCAAAAUAUAUCUACAGUUAUUAAUAUUAUAUGAAAAACUGCAUAUUGUCUAAAAAGAUUGCACAUAUUCAUCUGUUUUGAAAAGUAUCAGGUAUGUUUUGCUUUUUUAAACAUAAAUACGAUUACAUUCACUGCAGGAAAUUCAAUAUUUUCACCUUAGCAUCUUCACUGAACCCUUUCAAGAAUUUCACUUGAAUAUAAUUUUGUGAGCCCAUUACGGGAAUCACACAUAUGACGAUCAGCGUGAGUUUCCAGUCAGAAGCAAAUGCUAUGGAAAAACCAGCCGCUAUUGUUACUAUACACUGCACUAGUAUGGCCAAGUUAUCUCCGACAAGGCGUCGGAUGUUCAAAGCAUCAAUAUAGAGUCUCGCGCCAAGGGCCCCACUUCAAAAUGAAACAGUAAAAAUACUAAAAUAAUGUCCAAACAGUUGUAGAAAAAUGUAAGAAAUUUGGGAUAAAAAUGUUUAAGUAGCAAAACCUAGAAUUUGAAGGCUCAUCAAACCAAGCAACUUCUUGAUGUACUAUGCUCUGGAAAGACAAAGAGCGGACACGUUGUAUAAGUUUCCCACCAGCAACCCCAAACAGAAAGUAUUCCAGUUGGAUUGAAAUCAGGGCAAUGACUGCAAACAGAAGGCACGUCAGUGCCCAAAACCGAGAAUCUUUUCGAAGUUGGUGUGGUGGAUAGUAGAAAGUUCUUAUACCACCAGACAUCAUUAUACUGAACGAGGGGAACAGAAGACCAUGCACAAAGGCAACUAUAGCAGCUAAUAGGAGAACUGGUGCUUCUGGCUUAUUAAGUUUGAAUAGUCGUCCAAUUGGUGCUUUCUUAGGAGCCUUGCUAUUACCAUGUUCCUGGUCUUCCUGUCUGUCUGUAAAAUCUUGCCUGUUCAAUUCUUUAGACAGCCCAGUGGUUUUUGUGAAGGAAUGAUGUCCUUUGUUCCUGGGAGAAUCUCUGCCUGUUGAUUGUUCCAAAGGUAAACUUCUACUUUUAUAGAUUGAACCUGACACGUCAGUAUCUGGAACCUCAUGCCUUUCUGUAGCAUGUGCCUGUUGUAACCUAAUAAGCUGAGAAUAAGCUCCAUCAGGGUCCUUAAUUAGCUUGUCAUGGACACCUGUGUGACAUGUCAAUUGGUUAAUUUGUUCCAAAAAACUGAAUUGAACUACCUCUGUUUUUGACUUUUUUCACACUGAUUGAUUGCUUCUAAGAAUUAAAAAGGUGUAAUUGGUGUCGAAGAGUCACUUACCUCGUUCAACUACUUUCCCUUGAUGAACUACUGCUAUGCAGUCUGCGCUCCUGAUGGUGCUCAAGCGGUGAGCAACAAUGAGUGUAGUUCUCCCUACCAUUAUCCUAUUUAGUGCUUCUUGAACUACCCUUUCAGACUCUACAUCUAAAGCACUUGUGGCUUCGUCCAAAAGAAGAAUUUUGGGAUUUUUGAGGAUUGCUCUUGCGAUGGCAAUCCUUUGCUUUUGCCCCCCAGAAAGCUGAGAACCAUGCUGACCUACCGUUGUCUCAUAUGCCUGUAUGAGGUGGAAGACAAGAUAUUAGUUGGCAGAAACUUAAGUAAGAUACAUAAAUAAGUAGUGUUUCUGAAAGUACGUCAGGCAGCUUUUCAAUGAAGGUUGCUGCAUUUGCAAGCUCAGCUGCUCUCUUGAUCUCUUCAAUUGUAGCAUCCGCUUUACCAUAGGUUAUGUUAUCCUUGAUGGAGGUCAUAAAAAGCAAUGGUUCUUGGCUGACAAGACUUAUCUUUCCUCUUAACCAUUGGAGUUGCAGACUUUUGAUGUUGACUCCAUCUACCAACACUUCACCAGCCUGUGGGUCAUAAAAUCUCUCCACCAUACUAAUCACUGUGGAUUUACCACUUCCGCUCUCCCCAACUAUAGCCAUUGUAGUACCACUAGGUACUUGCAGGCACAGGCCAUCAAGUAUCAACUGCUCAGGCCUUGCAGGGUACCUAAAGAACACAUCCUUGAGCUCAACAUCUCCCUCGAUAUCUUCUAAUACUAUUCCGGAAGUGUCGUUAAUGUCAAUAUUUGGUUUUCUGUUGAUAAUCUCAAACAAUCUUUGUGCUGCAGACUGCCCUUCUGCAAUUGCAGAAAUAGAUGGUGAUGCAGUACCUAUAGCCCUGUUCCCAAAUAAUCAAACCUUAAUGUCAAAAUCUAAAAAUGGUUAGGUUAAUUUUUAUCGAAUAAUUGUAUUUCGGUCCAUUUUGGACCUUUCCUCUCUUAAUAUAAUUUUAUGCAGCUCUCCUGCGUGUUCGAGAAAAAAAUUAUCGAAUACCGAUUCAGUUUCAAUCAAAGAGUCUAAGAGUACUUUUCUACUACCAUUUAUUUCAUAUGUAGUUCACAGUUACAAAACUCACAUUGAGCCAACUAAGAUUGCAAAUACGAUAUUGAUGACCUGCCCUCCAGUAUAUCCUUUGCUGAUGAUUAACUUGGCACCAUACCAGAAAGCUAGAGAGUAACUGCUGAAGACAACAAAAAAUAUGGAGCCUACUCCAAGACCAGUGAUGAUCCCUUCCAUGAUUGUAGCCUUGUAUGCCUUUUUUAUGUGAUUGUUGUACAUUGCAAUUGCUUUCUUCUCUCCAUUGAAAGAUACAACCUGUUUUGAGAUGUUAUUGAUAUUGAAUAGUUGCAAAAAAAAACUAUUGUCAGCAUUAAUUUGUAUUUAGAAAAUGUUAGAAUCACCCACUGUUCUUAUUGCUCCAAUGGUUUGCUCGACAAUAUUCCCUGCAUCUUCAUAUGAUUCUUGCCUCUUUCGAGAUAUUUGAGCUCGCAACCGGGAGACUGUUGCAAAGGAUAAAAUGCUUGGAGGUAUGCACGCGAGCAUAACAAGGGCCAGCAUCCAGCCUCUAAUGAAUCCGAUGAUAAAGCCACCGACGAAGGUUGUCAAAAGCUGUAUGUACUUCCCUACCUUAACAUGAGAAGUCAAGUUUUUUAGUGUUGUACAUAAGGCUUUUUUCUUAAGUUGGUUAGGUGGUCGUCUGUCCCACGCUAAAGCACAGGCCUAAGGCCCGGCAUCGGUUGCGGUCGUUCUCACAUGGGCUUCGAUGCCGCUAUGUAUGGGAAGGGUAGAGGUUCGGGGGAGGUGUGAGAAAGUAUUUUUCUUAAUACAAUACUCGAGGGUUGUCUUAUCCCUGCAGGUCGAGUUUUUAUGUUGUAGACAUGAAAGACCCUUUAAUGGAAACUAGGCAUACUUUUGUUUCUUUUGUCAAAACAAUAAUGAACUGUUACCUUCUCACCGAGGGCGUCUUGGAUGAGUACAGUGUCCGCAGACAUUCUUGAGGCUGCUUCUGCAGUUGUCAUCUCCACGUCAAAGAAUGCAAUGUCUUGCCUCAGCACAGCUUCAAGGUAUAAUGACCGCAACCGUGUUGACUGCCUUUCUCCAGCCACCGUCCAGCAUGACACCUCUGGAGCAGGUAAAUGUUUCAGCUAAUCUUUUGGGAUUCUGCUAUUCAACUAAAACAUAGUUCUCAUUUUUAGCUGCUACAAAGUCCGUUCUCUACCUUGUUGAAGUUGUAAGUUGAAUUAGCC